rnacentral:rRNA from 1 species
CCUACGGGUGGCUGCAGUGGGGAAUAUUGGACAAUGGGCGAAAGCCUGAUCCAGCCAUGCCGCGUGUGUGAAGAAGGCCUUCGGGUUGUAAAGCACUUUCAGUGGGGAAGAAAGCCUUGGGGCUAAUACCCUCGAGGAAGGACAUCACCCACAGAAGAAGCACCGGCUAACUCCGUGCCAGCAGCCGCGGUAAUACGGAGGGUGCGAGCGUUAAUCGGAAUUACUGGGCGUAAAGCGCGCGUAGGCGGUCUGAUAAGCCGGUUGUGAAAGCCCCGGGCGCAACCUGGGAACGGCAUCCGGAACUGUCAGGCUAGAGUGCAGGAGAGGAAGGUAGAAUUCCCGGUGUAGCAGUGAAAUGCGUAGAGAUCGGGAGGAAUACCAGUGGCGAAGGCGGCCUUCUGGACUGACACUGACGCUGAGGUGCGAAAGCGUGGGUAGCAAACAGGAUUAGAUACCCGAGUAGUC